GAUGAACGCUAGCGGCAGGCUUAAUACAUGCAAGUCGAGGGACAGCACAGGUAGCAAUACUGGGUGGUAACCGGCAAACGGGUGCGGAACACGUACACAACCUUCCUUUAAGUGGGGGAUAGCCCAGAGAAAUUUGGAUUAAUACCCCGUAAUAUAGUUGAAUGGCAUCAUUUGAUUAUUAUAGCUACGGCGCUUAAUGAUGGGUGUGCGGCUGAUUAGAUAGUUGGCGGGGUAACGGCCCACCAAGUCUACGAUCAGGAGCUGAUGUGAGUGCAUGACCAGCAAAACGGGCACUGAGACACGGGCCCGACUCCUACGGGAGGCAGCAGUAAGGAAUAUUGGUCACUGGACGCAAGUCUGAACCAGCCAUGCCGCGUGAAGGAUUAAGGUCCUCUGGAUUGUAAACUUCUUUUAUUUGGAACGAAAAAGGGCCUUUCUAGGUCAACUGACGGUACCAGAUGAAUAAGCACCGGCUAACUCCGUGCCAGCAGCCGCCGUAAGAC
rnacentral:rRNA from 1 species